CUGGGCUUGACAUCCCGAUCGCACUUUAUGGAAACAUAGAGGUCAGUUCGGCUGGAUCGGAGACAGGUGCUGCAUGGCUGUCGUCAGCUCGUGUCGUGAGAUGUUGGGUUAAGUCCCGCAACGAGCGCAACCCUUGUCCUUAGUUGCCAUCAUUUGGUUGGGCACUCUAAGGAGACUGCCGGUGUUAAACCGGAGGAAGGUGGGGAUGACGUCAAGUCCUCAUGGCCCUUAUGUCCAGGGCUACACACGUGCUACAAUGGCCGGUACAAAGGGAAGCAAGACCGCGAGGUGGAGCCAAUCCCAAAAAGCCGGUCUCAGUUCGGAUUGGAGUCUGCAACUCGACUCCAUGAAGUUGGAAUCGCUAGUAAUCGUGGAUCAGCAUGCCACGGUGAAUACGUUCC
rnacentral:rRNA from 1 species